AGUUGAGGCUUGAAAGACAGGAAGAUGCGAUGGCUUCCUCGUCUGGCAACGAUGACGAUCUCACUAUCCCCGGAGCUGCUAUAAAUAAGAUGAUCAAAGAGACUCUUCCUAAUGUCCGGGUGGCCAACGAUGCCCGGGAGCUGGUAGUGAACUGCGGCACUGAAUUCAUUCAUCUUAUAUCUUCUGAAGCCAANGAGAUUUGUAACAAGUCAGAAAAGAAGACAGUUUCACCAGAGCGUGUCAUACAAGCNCUAGAAAGUUUGGGCUUUGGCUCUUACAUCAGUGAAGUAAAAGAAGUCUUUCAAGAAUGCAAGACAGUAGCAUUAAAAAGAAGAAAGGCCAGUUCUCGAUUGGAAAACCUUGGCAUUCCUGAGGAAGAAUUAUUGAGACAGCAACAGGAAUUAUUUGCAAAAGCUAGACAGCAACAAGCAGAAUUGGCCCAACAGGAAUGGCUUCAAAUGCAGCAAGCAGCUCAACAAGCACAGCUGGCUGCAGCCUCAGCCAGCGCAUCCAAUCAAGCAGGANCUUCACAAGAUGAAGAAGAAGAUGAUGAUUAUAUCUGAAAUUCACCACCUGGGCUUCUGUUUCCUCUAUAAGAAAACAGUGAAAGAUAUGCCUAUCUGUAAUUAUGUAUGCAUCUUGCUGGACUUACCAUUGGUAUUCUAGAGACGUCUGUUGUCCGGUUUCAACUACUGUGCUAUACAUAUAAAACGGUCUCUUUGAACUAUUGAAAGUUUAAGGUUAAGGUUGAAUUUGUAAUGGUGUUUCUGGAA